AGCGCAGGCGGGAAGGUAAGUCUAUCUUAAAAGUGCGGGGCUCAACCCCGUGAGGGGAUAGAAACUAUCAUUCUUGAGUGCAGGAGAGGAAAGCGGAAUUCCUAGUGUAGCGGUGAAAUGCGUAGAUAUCAGGAGGAACACCAGUGGCGAAGGCGGCUUUCUGGACUGUAACUGACGCUGAGGCUCGAAAGCCAGGGGAGCGAACGG
rnacentral:rRNA from 1 species